GCAGGACAUCCGUGUGACAUUUGUGCAAUGUUGACAUCUUGACUCCACACCAGUUGUGCCACUCACCACCAGCUCCCUGUGAGGAUUUCACUGGGCUGUGAAGCACUUGGAGACCCCAAUGCAGAGUUAGCAUCAUAUUGAGGAUGUAGCUGUUCGAUUUUCUUGCUCAACAUAUUUUCUUAAGCCCAACUGAUUUGGAUUUUUGGGGGUACGAUACCAAUAUAUAAUGGAGUAAAAAAUUUUUUUACAAUACCGUUAUACAGUAUCUGCCAAUUAUAUACAUACAAAUGGCAAUGAUUUCCUAUCACUUUGUUCUUAGACCCUUAUGACAAAAGAAAUGUAACCGAGGCUUGAUGUGUUACAGCUUUAACAUCAACUUUUUUAUAAAUGACUAAAUACAACCAACCAACCUACAUCACACUGCCUUUACUCAGAUUAGCAGUUGCCAUAUUGCACCGCUCAGCUUUUACAUAAAAUAGA